rnacentral:rRNA from 1 species
UACGGGGGGGGCAAGCGUUGUUCGGAAUUACUGGGCGUAAAGGGCUCGUAGGCGGCCAACUAAGUCAGACGUGAAAUCCCUCGGCUUAACCGGGGAACUGCGUCUGAUACUGGAUGGCUUGAGUUUGGGAGAGGGAUGCGGAAUUCCAGGUGUAGCGGUGAAAUGCGCAGAUAUCAGGAAGAACACCUAUGGCGAAGGCAGCACUCUGGGACGGUACUGACGCUGAGACGCGAAAGCGUGGGGAGCGAACAGG